rnacentral:lncRNA from 1 species
CCCCAGUUCUGUUCCGCUUAUAGAAGGUUCUGCGCGGUGUAACUCAAUACCUGCUUCGCCGUGAUCUGCUCUAGAAGGCAGGUCAGCCUUCCAGAAACUUACGGGUCGCUCGGCCGGGAGAACUCGCUCUCUUCUCGUACUAGCAGUCACCUUUCCCCCAGAUCGCCAAGAUGACUCGGGAGGAAAGUCGAAUCUCCUGAGCCUUUUGCUCAGCUCGAGCGCGAAGCAGGCGCCCUCUUCUAAUCGCAGUCCCUACCCUGAAGUAAGCCUGCAAUCCUCCAGGAUCUGCCUGUUAACCCGGCUGCCUCCCUCCGUCUACCCUCCCCACCC